rnacentral:rRNA from 1 species
GAUGAACGCUGGCGGCGUGCCUAAUACAUGCAAGUCGAGCGAACAGACGAGGAGCUUGCUCCUCUGACGUUAGCGGCGGACGGGUGAGUAACACGUGGAUAACCUACCUAUAAGACUGGGAUAACUUCGGGAAACCGGAGCUAAUACCGGAUAAUAUAUUGAACCGCAUGGUUCAAUAGUGAAAGACGGUUUUGCUGUCACUUAUAGAUGGAUCCGCGCCGCAUUAGCUAGUUGGUAAGGUAACGGCUUACCAAGGCAACGAUGCGUAGCCGACCUGAGAGGGUGAUGGGCAACAGUGAGAGUGGACCGCGGUACAGGGACAGAGGGGAGGCAGAAAUAGGGAAGGGGCGGCGAUGUGGGAAAUAUUGAAGGAGCAACGAAGGGGGGGUGAAGAAGGUCUGAGGAUGGUAAAACGGUGUUAUGAGGGAAAAAAAAAUUUGUAAGGGAAUAUGCAUGUCUUGACGGUACCUAAACAGAAAGAAAGGGAUAAGUAGGUG